ACGCAGCUGUGUUCUUUCAAGAUGGCAAACCAAGUUUGCUCAUGUCUUGAUACUUAACUGCUUGUAAACAAGUAAUUACCUGAAUGUAAGGAAAACAUUCUCCUUCAGUCGGUAGUUUGGCACUGAACCAUCGUUUGUUUACAUCAAGUCUUUAUAUUUGCCUAACACUUUUAUUUCAUUUAAACACAAAAUUAACAUCACCCUUCCAAAAUGCAGAAGAAUAACAAGUGGGAGGCAUUACUAGCUGUUGAUAACAGUCUAUGAAGAUCUGCACUUUCAUCUGCUUAUUCACCACUUACAUUGGCACAAUACUGAGCUGUUUGAGAAGCUAUUUGUCAGCUGUCAUGAAGAAGAAUGCAAUGCAACAGGUAGGUAUCGCCCAUAAGAUCUACUGUUUUGCAGUUCAGCCUUGCCUGAGACUGGCUGUGCCUCGUGGUGUGCAGUCCCUUGCUCCUUUCCUAAACUGAGUCACUGUAUCCUUAAUCACAAAUCUACCCUGAAAUGUUCAGCUGGACCUGGCUGUCUUGGUCUGGAGCUAUGCACUCUGCUCCUGACCGAGGGAGUCCAGUGCAGAACUGGCUGGUGCUGGUGUGGCAGGGCCUCCUUGUGCUUGGUGUUGCAUCUCACCUGCAGGUCAGGGAGUAAGCAUGGCUGCAACAGACAAAAUUGCUGUCAUGCCCUCGCCCUCCACAUUGUGAGCUAGCUAUUGGAGGGAAGCUAAUGAAGGCCAAAAAAUGGGAGAUAUUCCCACUGGCUUUCAAGAGUUAGGGCAUACAUUUCACUUGUGCCUAGUAGGAAAUCUGCCCUUAAACUGUUAAUUGCAGUCAGGUCUGAAAGUCUGCCCAGUUCAUGCAUUACUGCACAGCCUACCAAAUAACUGGGUCAGGGUACUCAAACUGCUGUUGUAGAAACAUUAUCAACAGAAUGAUGCCAAUGAGAGCAUUUGCCCAUGAUG
rnacentral:lncRNA from 1 species